AAAGCAACUGCCUUGGCUCUGAUUCUGGAUGCAAAAAUCUCAGGAAGUAGAAGAGCUGGUACCGGACCAGCACCCAAUGAAAAAGAUAAUACAUAUAGAACCGUGCCAAGAACAGCAAGUGUUCCUGAAUAGGGUGCUAGGACUUCCCAAGUGAAGGACAAGGAAAGAAGCAACAUUGAAAGAGCCAUUCCCGUAAAGCUUGUAAUUAGAAGAUUUUUU
rnacentral:misc_RNA from 1 species